GGCUCAGUGGUCUAAUGGUAAAGCGCUCGUCGUGAGGCCAGAGGAUUGUGGGUUCGAUCCCCAACAGGGUCG
rnacentral:tRNA from 1 species